CUCCUCCACUACAUCACAAACUCUUGACAGUACCUGGAACGUUGAGUCGCCUGAGACAUGGCACAACCUAAUACAACUUUCAACAACGGAUCUCUCGGCUCUCGCAUCGAUGAAGAACGCAGCGAAAUGCGAUAAGUAAUGUGAAUUGCAGAAUUCAGUGAAUCAUCGAAUCUUUGAACGCACCUUGCGCUCCUUGGUAUUCCGAGGAGCAUGCCUGUUUGAGUGUCUUGAAAUUCUCAACCUCGGGGGUGCUCUUGUUAGCGCCCGCCGGGGCUUGGAUGUGGGGACCUUGCCGGCCGUUGCAGGCCGACUUCCCUGAAAUGCAUUAGCUCGAGGUUGACUCGGAGCGGUUCACGGCGUGAUAAGUAAAUGAACAUUACGUCCUGGUAAAUCCCGCCUCYGCUGUCUUAUUGGCCUCGGCUUCCAGACGUCUUCGGACAAAAUCAAACUAUGAAUAUGGCCUCAAAUCAGGCAGGACUACCCGCUGAACUUAAGCAUAUCAAUAAGCGGAGGAAAAGAAACUAACAAGGAUUCCCCUAGUAACUGCGAGUGAAGCGGGAAAAGCUCAAAUUUAGAAUCUGGCGGCUUUGCCGUCCGAGUUGUAAUCUGGAGAAGUGCUUUCUGUGCCGGACCGUGUACAAGUCUCUUGGAACAGAGCGUCAUAGAGGGUGAGAAUCCCGUCUUUGACACGGACUGCCGGUGCUAUGUGAUGCGCUCUCGAAGAGUCGAGUUGUUUGGGAAUGCAGCUCAAAAUGGGUGGUGAAUUCCAUCUAAAGCUAAAUAUUGGCGAGAGACCGAUAGCGAACAAGUACCGUGAGGGAAAGAUGAAAAGCACUUUGGAAAGAGAGUUAAACAGUACGUGAAAUUGUUGAAAGGGAAACGCUUGAAGUCAGUCGCGUCGUCCGGAACUCAGCCUUGCUCUUGCUUGGUGUACUUUCCGGUUGACGGGCCAACAUCGAUUUUGGCUGGCGGAUAAAGGCAGUUGGAAUGUGGCACCCUCGGGUGUGUUAUAGCCUCCUGUUGAACACGCUGGCCGGGAUCGAGGACCGCAGCGCGCCUUUUGGCCGGGGCUUUGCCCACGUAACGCGCUUAGGAUGUUGGCGUAAUGGCUUUAAACGACCCGUCUUGAAACACGGACCAAGGAGUCUAACAUGCCCGCGAGUGUUAGGGUGGAAAACCCUUCCGCGUAAUGAAAGUGAAAGUUGGGACCUCUGUCAUGGAGGGCACCGACGCCCGGCCUUGAACUUCUGUGACGGUGCUGCGGUGGAGCGUGCAUGUUGGGACCCGAAAGAUGGUGAACUAUGCCUGAAUAGGGUGAAGCCAGAGGAAACUCUGGUGGAGGCUCGUAGCGAUUCUGACGUGCAAAUCGAUCGUCAAAUUUGGGUAUAGGGGCGAAAGACUAAUCGAACCAUCUAGUAGCUGGUUCCUGCCGAAGUUUCCCUCAGGAUAGCAGAAACUCGUAUCAGAUUUAUGUGGUAAAGCGAAUGAUUAGAGGCCUUGGGGUUGAAACAACCUUAACCUAUUCUCAAACUUUAAAUAUGUAAGAACAAGCCGUCUCUUAGUUGGACCGCUUGGCGAUUGAGAGUUUCUAGUGGGCCAUUUUUGGUAAGCAGAACUGGCGAUGCGGGAUGAACCGAACGCGAGGUUAAGGUGCCGGAAUACACGCUCAUCAGACACCACAAAAGGUGUUAGUUCAUCUAGACAGCAGGACAGUGGCCAUGGAAGUCUGAACCGCUAAUGAGUGUGUACCACUCACCUGCCGAAUGAACUAGCCCUGAAAAUGAUGGCGCUCAGCGUGUUACAUAGCUGCCGUAGCGUUGAGUGAACCCUACAAUAGAGGCGUGANGUCG
rnacentral:rRNA from 1 species